rnacentral:rRNA from 1 species
CAGCCGCAACAGCCCGCUGGCUCGCACGGGGUGCUCUUCAUCGAGUGUCCCGCGUGGCCGGCAGAGUUUACUUUGAAAAAAUUAGAGUGCUCAAAGCAGGCUACACUGACAGCCUGAAUGCCUAUGCAUGGAAUAAUGGAAUAGGACCUCGGUUCUAUUUUGUCGGUUUUCUGAACCCGAGGUAAUGACUAAUAGGAACAGGCGGGGGCAUUCGUAUUGCGACGCUAGAGGUGAAAUUCUUGGACCGUCGCAAGACGAACUACUGCGAAAGCAUUUGCCAAGGAUGUUUUCAUUAAUCAAGAACGAAAGUUAGAGGUUCGAAGGCGAUCAGAUACCGCCCUAGUUCUAACCAUAAACGAUGCUGACCAGCGAUCCGCCGGCGUUAUUCCCAUGACCCGGCGGGCAGCUUCCGGGAAACCAAAGUCUUUGGGUUCCGGGGGAAGUAUGGUUGCAAAGCUGAAACUUAAAGGAAUUGACGGAAGGGCACCACCAGGAGUGGAGCCUGCGGCUUAAUUUGACUCAACACGGGGAACCUCACCAGGCCCAGACACCGGAAGGAUUGACAGAUUGAGAGCUCUUUCUCGAUUCNGUGGGUGGUGGUGCAUGGCCGUUCUUANUUGGUGGAGCGAUUUGUCUGGUUAAUUCC